UAAAUUAAUGGAUACUAUCUCCAUUUAGGGUUUUUAAAUAGGAUUUACAUCUUUCACAGACCCAUAGAUAUUGGGAAUAGAGGUCCAGUGGAUCUAUAAAACUGUGCGAAUAAUUUGAAUUCUAAAUGGUGUGGUGAGCCUGACCAUUUCACAGAUUGUCAGUAUCUGAAUUGAUUGUAUAGCUUCUUUGACCAUCCCUCUGAAGAAGUCCUAUGUGGACGAAACGCGUCAGUGUUGAAGAGACUUAUACUACCCUUCAUUUCAUUUAUGGCACAAAUUUUAACUGUGUAUAUGAAAGGGUUAUCUCUGUUUGUGUAAAU